rnacentral:tRNA from 1 species
UGGGCGGCGGCCUGUUGGGCGGCCUGCUGACGGUAGGCCUGCUGCUGACGAAGCAGUGCCGCCUGCUGCUGCGCGGCCA